rnacentral:rRNA from 1 species
CACGUACUGUGCGAACGUUAUUCGGAAUCACUGGGCUUAAAGGGUGCGUAGGCGGCUUUACAAGUCAGGUGUGAAAUCCCACGGCUCAACCGUGGAACUGCGCUUGAAACUGUUUAGCUUGAGUAUUUCAGGGGUGUGCGGAACUUCCAGUGGAGCGGUGAAAUGUGUUGAUAUUGGAAGGAACACCGGUAGCGAAAGCGGCACACUGGGGAAUGUCUGACGCUGAGGCACGAAAGCUAGGGGAGCGAACAGG